rnacentral:rRNA from 1 species
UACAGAGGUGGCAAGCGUUGUUCGGAAUUACUGGGCGUAAAGCGCGCGUAGGCGGCUUUGCAAGUCGGGUGUGAAAUCCCCAGGCCUAACCUGGGAACUGCAUUCGAGACUGCAUGGCUAGAGUAUCGGAGAGGGAAGUGGAAUUUCAGGUGUAGCGGUGAAAUGCGUAGAUAUCUGAAGGAACAUCAGUGGCGAAAGCGACUUCCUGGACGAAUACUGACGCUCAUGUGCGAAAGCGUGGGGAGCAAACAGG